CUGAGACUAGAGGAACACCAGAUGGAGCGUGUUCUUCCAUAUCAAGAACUUUAAUAUGAAGGCCUCUUCUGGGAUAUGUCAUCCAGGAACGCAUUGACGAUAAUAGAGACUUGAACAUGCUAUCAGUUGAUCAUAUGUCGGCAUAUUGGACUAGGCACAAGACUGCAUGGAUGACUGCUGGCUCUAUUACUGACUGUUUCCUAAGAUGUGGAUGACCUGAUAGGACAGUAUGAUGCAGCCCUACAAUCAUGGAGGACAUUACAGAGAAGUGCUGAUCUGUGUAGCUGCUCUUGUCUUGGACAGGACUAAGGUAUUUUUCAAACUGAAAAGCAAUUAGCAAUUGUGGGGGGAGCAAGAUAGUUUUAUCUGAUAAGAUAUAUUACAAAGUUCCUUAUGGUUGCUUUUACUAUUGAUUUAUGCAAAGUUUGCAGCCAUUUAAAUGUGCUGCUAUUUAGGUUUCAAAUGUUAGUAAGGAUGAGAUUAUUUUGUGCAAAAGUAAACACUGCUUGAUGUUCAGGCAGAUUAUC